rnacentral:sRNA from 1 species
CUGCUUGUUCUGGGUUAAUAAAGUGCACGUGUGUAUCGAUACCGCCAGCUGUAAUGAUGUUGCCUUCUGCUGCAAUAAUUUCAGUAGAAGCCCCGAUGAUAAUAUCGACAUCAUCCAUAAUAUCCGGGUUGCCGGCUUUACCGAUUUUCAUAAUGUAACCGUUUUUCACACCAAUGUCGCCUUUCACGACUUUAUCGUGGUCAAUGAUGACUGCAUUUGUAAUGACUAAAUCUGCCACUCUUUUAUCAUCUCGUGUCGCAUUUGGAUUUUGUCCCAUACCAUCACGG